rnacentral:rRNA from 1 species
GAUGAACGCUAGCGAUAGGCUUAACACAUGCAAGUCGAGGGGUAACAUGGGAGUAGCUUGCUACUUCUGAUGACGACCGGCGGAUGGGUGAGUAACGCGUAUGCAACUUGCCUCUUAGUGGGGAAUAACCCGGAGAAAUCCGGACUAAUACCGCGUACACUUAGUUAUCCGCAUGGGGGAAUCAUGAAAGCUACAUGCGCUAAGGGAGAGCUUUGCGUCCCAUUAGCUCGUUGGUGAGGUAACGGCCCACCAAGGCAAUGAUGGGUAGCCGGCCUGAGAGGGUGAACGGCCACAAGGGGACUGAGACACGGCCCUU